rnacentral:rRNA from 1 species
CCUACGGGGGGCUGCAGUGAGGAAUAUUGGUCAAUGGCCGAGAGGCUGAACCAGCCAAGUCGCGUGAGGGAAGAAGGUUUUCGGAUUGUAAACCUCUGUGGAGGGGGACGAUAAUGACGGUACCCCUUUAGGAAGCCACGGCUAACUACGUGCCAGCAGCCGCGGUAAUACGUAGGUGGCGAGCGUUGUCCGGAAUUACUGGGUGUAAAGGGAGUGUAGGCGGGAAAGCAAGUCAGAAGUGAAAACUAUGGGCUUAACCCAUAGCCUGCUUUUGAAACUGUUUUUCUUGAGUGAAGUAGAGGCAAGCGGAAUUCCUAGUGUAGCGGUGAAAUGCGUAGAUAUUAGGAGGAACACCAGUGGCGAAGGCGGCUUGCUGGGCUUUUACUGACGCUGAGGCUCGAAAGCGUGGGGAGCAAACAGGAUUAGAUACCCGAGUAGUC